rnacentral:rRNA from 1 species
GAGAGUCUCUUUGAGAAUUAUUAAUAAAGAGUUGGGCCUGCUCGGUGAGUAAUGAAUUUAACAGCUGCGGUAUUAUAACUGUACUAAGGUAGCAUAAUAAUUUGCCUUAUAAAUUAAGGCUAGAAUGAAUGGUUUGACGAAAAUUAAGCUGUCUUAUUUUUAUUUAUUAGAAAUUAAUUUUUAAAGUGAAAAAGCUUGAAUGAUUUAGAGGGACGAGAAGACCCUAUUGAGCUUGUUUAUUAAUAUUUAAAUAUAAGUUUAUUUAUUUAUAAAAAAUGUUUAUAUAACAGUUUGUAUAUUUAAUUAAGUUAAUUUUGAUUGGGGUGAUCAAGGAAUAAAGAAAAUAAAUAAUAACUUCCUUAAAAAUUUUUAAUUUUAUUGAAUAAUAAACCGAAAUUUUUUGCUUAUAAGAUAAGUUACCAUAGGGGUAACAGCGUAAUUUUUUUUGAGAGUUCAUAUUGAAAAAAGAGAUUGCGACCUCGAUGUUGGAUUAAAUAUAACCUUAAGGUGUAGAGGCUUUAAUAGG